UGUCAUAAUGACAAAUGUUGUAACAUAUAUAACCAUGUAUGACAUUUAAUGAAUGCUGUUACCUACUUAUAAGUGGAUAUUAUCCCGUUUUAUUCAUAAAGGUGUGUGGUACCUUGCAGCAACUGAUGAGACUGAUGAGAAGUGUUAAACAUGUGAGAAUUAAACUUGUAUAACUUAAACUUGUAUUAAUUUUUUAGGAAGAAAUUAGAAAAGAAAAUAAUUCGAACAAGAUAGUUAUUGGGAGUUGAGUAAAAGAAAAAAUUAUGAAAAGAAGAGGAAAACUAAAAAAGACCUGCAACACCUGCAUCACAACCAAGCCAAGCGGUUGUAAAGAAAACUCAUCACCCUGCAGCCCGCUGAGAGCAAGAGGAACGAAGACAGCCGACUCGAGUCAAAGUCACCACGCGGGAUUGACUAUGAAGAGGAAUGGCACUGCUUCUCCUCCCCCCUCCAGAUCAACUUCUUCCCUGUCAUUUAAGUCACCAGAACAUUUUACACCAGCGUGCAUACAGAAUCAGGGGUCAUACGAUGCUGGAGGACUAUCCAAAUUAAUAUUGAAGAAAGGAUCCAUUCCAAUGAUCUGGGACCCUUCCCCAGCGUUGAAACGAUGCCAUUUGAGGAAGAGGGAGAGGAAGAUGAGAAAAUGUACAACCUCAGCCACCCAGACGAAGACUGGCUCCUCACUUCCACCCUGGAGGAGCACGAGUUGAGGGAGAACCCCCGUCAGAUCUACAACUGUGACGACACAGGGUUUCAGCUGGACUCAGCAGGGAGACAGGUCAUCGUGCCCCGGGGUACCAAGCAUGCAUACAGGCAGGCCGAGGGAACCAGGGACCACAUCACCAUCCUUGCCCAACAAGGACGGGAUCUCUGACGCCCUCUAUGGGAAGUAGCCAGCAGGGUACAUGGACAGUGAGUUGUUUGGGAAGUGGUUUAUAGGGCAUUUUAUUGAAGCCACCAGAAGCCCAAAUCCACAAUAGCCUUCUAACUAUGUAAUUUAUGGUCUUAUGUAUAUAAUACUAAGCAUCUAAAAAGGAUUAAAAAUUUGUUUCAAUCCAAAUUCGAAAUAUUGUCAUUUAAGUUUUUGUAAACUUUCCUGAUAUUGGUUUUGAAUUGGCCGUACUUAUGCUCUGAUAUUUAUUACGAAAAUUAAUUCCGCGAACCAGUCAUAAAAAAUCCAUGUCAGUUUUCCCACAUAAACAGUUGCAACAAAAUCUCUCAGCUCUCACUCAAUCUGGUUUACUAGCAAAGAGUUUUGCUAGUAAUCCUUUACUACAGGUAGUAAAUAGUGACUGUAAGCAACACAAGACAUUCACCAGAACCCUCUGUUUCCAUAUCGGUGUCUCCUGCCUGUCUGUCCGUAACAAUUAUGGUGUUGACAGAUCACAAUACAAGUUAUACAAUAUUGUCUACAGUAUUUUGCAAGGAUAUCAAACAGAUAAUUGCAACUUUGACGAACAUUUUAAAACAUAAAUAUUGUAAUAAUUGUCUGACAAGUAAAAUACUGACAGUACAUAAGCAAUUUACUUUGUAAGAUCAGAAUUUCACCUUAUGUUGACAUGGUAAUAGUCUAUUCCAGGUAAAUUUCUGCCUCAUAAGUAAGUAAGUGUCACUAGUCUGAUGUAACUAAUGUGUAUCCUACAUAGAGGAUAACACAUGGGUGGCUACAGUCAUCACUAUACUAUUACUUUGAUAAUGUUGUCUUUUUACUAGAAAUAAGUACUUGACUAAUGUUGUUUCUUCUAUUUGUUUCAUAUCAUACGUUACAUUACCUCUGUAUUUCUGCUUUCUACUUCAUUGGGCUCUGUAGGUCACUUCUGAUAAAUGUACCUGUAAAGACAAAUGUAAUGUGUUUAGAGAGUUUAUGCAUAAGUACUAAGCUAAAAUUUUAUGACAGAUAUAAAUAGCAGUAUUUAGCUGAGGAAAAUGUCAGGGAAACCUGUAAUCUUGAUUGCCAAUGUUGUUCAUUUGUCCACUAUUUCGGGUCAGAUUCCUGCUUGAACAUGUGCUGUUGUGAAGUUUUUGGUUUAGAAGCAGUUAUUGCGGUGAUAUUCAUGGUAGAAGUGCAGUUAACAGCAGACUGGGCUUUUUGGAAGGGGGGACUUAAAGAGUCAGGCACUAAAACAUUUCACACUGAGGCUGAAAAAGGGUACUACAGCAAUAGACAGUAUGAGAAAAAUGUGGUUUUCUUUUUAACAUUACAGCAUGUAAACAUUUUCUAGUAGACACCCAAAAUAAAAGUAUGAACCUGAAAAUGAGCAUAAUAUGAGACCUUUAAAGUUCGUCCACGAAGUGGUUUCCUGUGUUUACACAAGUUAAUACUGCUUGGCAAAAUGAUCAUUCACUGCACCAUCUGGUCUCAAAUGGUUCUCAUUUAACUUACUAAUGGUUCAUCUCUGUGUUCAUAUCAUUCAUUCAUGUUUGCAUUUAUCCAUUCAUUUGUAUGUCUAGUAGUUAUUAGUUUAUUGUUUGUAUAGUCAGUAACUGCAUGUGUAUGUAGUUAGUAGUUUAAUAAACAUUUCCUUUAUAAAGAAUCUGGUUACAUGUGGUUUGUGUGCAUGAAGUAUUCCGGUCACUGUACACAAGACAAGAACUCUGUAGCAACUUCAGAUCAAGACUAAAUUGAUUAUUAAUUGUUAUUGUAAAUUCAUUAGUUAACUAUCAAGAUUUUGAACUGAACUGUGACAACGAAUUUUUGAGUUAAAUUCUGUUUAAUGUGAUUUUUAA